ensembl:lncRNA
AUCGUACCUCUGUAGAACAUACCCACGGACCUGUGAAUGUGUGCAUUCAAAUUAUUUCCUCAGCUCGGGCAACGAUGAAAAGAGAAGAAAAGAGGGUCAAACUAAAAUAACGGGGGAAGUCCGUGCUGCACGAAGGUCACCUUUUAGCUCUCUCUCUUUUCGGUUAAGUUUUCUGACGUGGCAUUAUGAUAAAUGACCUGGUGUGCAGCCACAGAGGUUCCUGACCCAAGUUGUUUUCUGUACCAAUAUUGGCCCACGGACUUGAACAAGGUAGAGCAACCAGUAGAACAAAGACUGGAGUAAGUUUUUCUCAGUGAAUAAUCCCACUGAGCCUCCUUUGAAGGAGUUCUUACGCCAGGAAGGCGGAGAGGGCAGAUUUGAAUCAAUACAGGAAAACAAGGAGCUCAGGGGACGCAAAGAGCCGACCAGUCGGGAUGAAGAUUAAACACCUCUGUCCAAAACACACUCGGCUCAUGUCAGAAAGCCCGGCUGUAGGCGAGCAAGUGGAUCAUAAAUCACGGCAGACAAAGCUCAGCUUGACCUCUAAGUGGUUCUACGUAUCAGGCUAUUCUGAUUCAGUGUGCAUGUCUUUUGGCCUCAAUAGGUCUACUUACUUCAUUUGAGUUUCGAACAAUGCAGACUUAUCCCAGAGGGCUGAUUCUGCCUUGCGAACAAUGCCCAGUUUUGUCCGAGGGCUCUUUCUCUACUUUUCACCCGCACCUGGGAAGUUUGAAUCCGCUCCAUCAUUUGAAAGUUCAGAAGUGGACGUAAUAGUAAUGUUUUGGACACUUGCGAUAAGAAAUAAAAGAGGAGUUCAUGAC